rnacentral:rRNA from 1 species
UACGUAGGGGGCUAGCGUUGUCCGGAAUCAUUGGGCGUAAAGAGCGUGUAGGCGGUCCGGUAAGUCCGUUGUGAAAGUCGGGGGCUCAACCCUCGGAAGCCGGUGGAUACUGUCGAGCUAGAGUACGGAAGAGGCGAGUGGAAUUCCUGGUGUAGCGGUGAAAUGCGCAGAUAUCAGGAGGAACACCAAUUGCGAAGGCAGCUCGCUGGGACGUUACUGACGCUGAGACGCGAAAGCGUGGGGAGCAAACAGG